rnacentral:rRNA from 1 species
GAUGAACGCUGGCGGCGUGCUUAACACAUGCAAGUCGAACGGAAAGGCCCAAGCUUGCUUGGGUACUCGAGUGGCGAACGGGUGAGUAACACGUGGGUGAUCUGCCCUGCACUUCGGGAUAAGCCUGGGAAACUGGGUCUAAUACCGGAUAGGACCACAUUUUGGAUGGUGUGGUGGAAAGUUUUUCGGUGUGGGAUGAGCUCGCGGCCUAUCAGCUUGUUGGUGGGGUAAUGGCCUACCAAGGCGUCGACGGGUAGCCGGCCUGAGAGGGUGUACGGCCACAUUGGGACUGAGAUACGGCCCAGACUCCUACGGGAGGCAGCAGUGGGGAAUAUUGCACAAUGGGCGCAAGCCUGAUGCAGCGACGCCGCGUGGGGGAGGACGGACUUCGGGUUGUAAACUCCUUUCGCUAGGGACGAAGCGUUAUGUGACGGUACCUGGAGAAGAAGCACCGGCUAACUACGUG